rnacentral:rRNA from 1 species
GGAGGGGCGGCUACCAUGCAGUCGAGCGGAUGACGGGAGCUUGCUCCUUGAUUCAGCGGCGGACGGGUGAGUAAUGCCUAGGAAUCUGCCUGGUAGUGGGGGACAACGUUUCGAAAGGAACGCUAAUACCGCAUACGUCCUACGGGAGAAAGCAGGGGACCUUCGGGCCUUGCGCUAUCAGAUGAGCCUAGGUCGGAUUAGCUAGUUGGUGGGGUAAUGGCUCACCAAGGCGACGAUCCGUAACUGGUCUGAGAGGAUGAUCAGUCACACUGGAACUGAGACACGGUCCAGACUCCUACGGGAGGCAGCAGUGGGGAAUAUUGGACAAUGGGCGAAAGCCUGAUCCAGCCAUGCCGCGUGUGUGAAGAAGGUCUUCGGAUUGUAAAGCACUUUAAGUUGGGAGGAAGGGCAGUAAGUUAAUACCUUGCUGUUUUGACGUUACCGACAGAAUAAGCACCGGCUAACUCUGUGCCAGCAGCCGCGGUAAU